rnacentral:rRNA from 1 species
AAUCUUCCACAAUGGACGAAAGUCUGAUGGAGCAACGCCGCGUGAGCGAAGAAGGUUUUCGGAUCGUACAGCUCUGUCUUGAGGGAAGAACAAGUACAGGAUUAACUGUCUGUACCUUGACUGUACCUCAUUAGAAAGCCACGUCUAACUACGUGCCAGCCGCCGCGGGAACACGCAGGGGGCAAGCGUUGUGCGGGAUUUUUGGGCGUAAAGCGCGCGCAGGCGGCCUUUUAAGUCUGAUGUGAAAGCCCACGGCUUAACCGUGGAAGGUCAUUGGAAACUGAGAGGCUUGAGUACAGAAGAGGAAAGCGGAAUUCCACGUGUAGCGGUGAAAUGCGUAGAGAUGUGGAGGAACACCAGUGGCGAAGGCGGCUUUCUGGUAUGUAACUGACGCUGAGGCGCGAAAGCGUGGGGAGCAAACA